GGGGGCGUAAAGGUUUCGACGGGGACGAUGCAGCGGGAUAAGCGAGCAGAGGCGCGGAGCCUCUUUAAAAGCCGCACUUUAUAAAUUAAAUAACAACGAUAAUCUCGCUGUUGCUGCCUGAUUAGGCGGCCGUCUCACGGAAGAAGGGCCACGAGCUUCCGGGGGCGUCAAAUCAGUGGCGAACGUGAACGCGCAAAGCUUUGAACGCGUCAUGCAUCAUGAAGCUACCAAAUCCGUAAGCCUGUAAACCGGCGUGCGGAGGCGGGAAUUUCAAAAGAUUUACUGCGCUCGGAGAAGGUCCCGUGAACUUGUUUUCGGACAGGAGUUCGACUCUCCUCGCCUCCACCA
rnacentral:sRNA from 1 species